GUGCGCCCUUCUGCAGCACAUAUAUUAAAAUUGGGACGAUACAGAGAAGAUUAGCAUGGCCCCCGCAGCAAGGAUGACAUGCAAAUUCACGAAGCAGUCCAUAUUUUU
rnacentral:snRNA from 1 species